CACGUAGGGCGCAAGCGUUGUCCGGAAUUAUUGGGAGUAAAGAGCUCGUCGGCGGUCUGUUGCGUCCGCUGUGAAAACUCGGGGCUUAACCCCGAGCCUGCAGUGGAUACGGGCAGACUAGAGGUAGGUAGGGGAGAAUGGAAUUCCCGGUGUAGCGGUGAAAUGCGCAGAUAUCGGGAGGAACACCGGUGGCGAAGGCGGUUCUCUGGGCCUUACCUGACGCUGAGGAGCGAAAGCGUGGGGAGCGAACAGG
rnacentral:rRNA from 1 species